AGGAAUAUGGGGUUUGGGGUUUCGGAUUUGGGGUUUGGGGUUUGGGUUUUGGGUUUUGGGGUUUGGGGUUUGGUGUUUCGGGUUUGGGGUUUGGGGUUUGGGAUUUGGGGUUUGGGGUUUGGGUUUGGGGUUUCGGAUUUUAGGGAUUUAAACAUAACACUCGUUAAUUCCACGUAAGCAGAAAUCGUCGUAAACACCACAUAAGCAGAAAUCGUCGUAAAUAUCUCGUAGUGUGAAAACUAGCAAAAAAAGAAAAAGGAGAAAAAUACCAGAUUCACAUGUGGCAAGACUUCCGGCAACGAUAAUACGUAAGUCUCGCCCACAUGAAUUCUAAUAUCUUCUCCUUUUCCCUUUUUUUUAAAUAUUUAUAAUUUGAAUAGGAUUUUGUUGAGGAAUGUGAUUUGAGAUAGGGUGUGAUUUGGGAGU
rnacentral:lncRNA from 1 species